UACGUAGGGGGCAAGCGUUGGUCCGGAUUUAUUGGGCGUAAAGAGCAGUGUAGGCGGCUAUACAGGUCCGCUGUGAAAACUGGAGGCUCAACCUCCAGCUGUCGACGGAAACCGUGUGGCUAGAGUCCGGAAGAGGAGAGUGGAAUUCCUGGUGUAGCGGUGAAAUGCGCAGAUAUCAGGAAGAACACCGGUGGCGAAGGCGGAUCUCUGGGCCAUUACUGACGCUGAGGAGCGAAAGCGUGGGGAGCAAACGGG
rnacentral:rRNA from 1 species